GCUAGACUCGGGGGGAGCGCGGGGGGAAUACGAGGGGGGGGAGAGUUGUUUGGAUUUAAUGGGCGUAAAGGGCGGGCAGGCGGCAGACCAAGUCAGGCGUGAAAGCCCCGGGGUUAACCUGGGAACUGCGUCUGGGACUGGUGUGCUAGAGAUCGGGAGAGGAGAGUGGAAUUCCCAGUGUAGAGGUGAAAUUCGUAGAUAUUGGGAAGAACACCGGUGGCGAAGGCGGCUCUCUGGACCGAGACUGGCGCUGAGGCGCGAAAGCGUGGGGAGCAAACAGGAUUAGAUACCCGGGUAGUC
rnacentral:rRNA from 1 species